rnacentral:tRNA from 1 species
CGGGGAGUAGCGCAGUCUGGUAGCGCAUCUGGUUUGGGACCAGAGGGUCGGAGGUUCGAAUCCUCUCUCCCCGACCA